ACCAUGCAAGUCGAACGGUGAAGCCCCGCUUGCUGGGUGGAUCAGUGGCGAACGGGUGAGUAACACGUGAGCAACCUGCCCCUGACUCUGGGAUAAGCGCUGGAAACGGCGUCUAAUACUGGAUACGAGACGUGAUCGCAUGGUCAACGUUUGGAAAGAUUUUUCGGUUGGGGAUGGGCUCGCGGCCUAUCAGCUUGUUGGUGAGGUAAUGGCUCACCAAGGCGUCGACGGGUAGCCGGCCUGAGAGGGUGACCGGCCACACUGGGACUGAGACACGGCCCAGACUCCUACGGGAGGCAGCAGUGGGGAAUAUUGCACAAUGGGCGCAAGCCUGAUGCAGCAACGCCGCGUGAGGGAUGACGGCCUUCGGGUUGUAAACCUCUUUUAGCAGGGAAGAAGCGAGAGUGACGGUACCUGCAGAAAAAGCACCGGCUAACUACGUGCCAGCAGCCGCGGUAAUACGUAGGGUGCAAGCGUUAUCCGGAAUUAUUGGGCGUAAAGAGCUCGUAGGCGGUUUGUCGCGUCUGCUGUGAAAUCUGGGGGCUCAACCCCCAGCCUGCAGUGGGUACGGGCAGACUAGAGUGCGGUAGGGGAGAUUGGAAUUCCUGGUGUAGCGGUGGAAUGCGCAGAUAUCAGGAGGAACACCGAUGGCGAAAGCAGAUCUCUGGGCCGUAACUGACGCUGAGGAGCGAAAGGGUGGGGAGCAAACAGGCUUAGAUACCCUGGUAGUCCACCCCGUAAACGUUGGGAACUAGUUGUGGGGUCCAUUCCACGGAUUCCGUGACGCAGCUAACGCAUUA
rnacentral:rRNA from 1 species